rnacentral:rRNA from 1 species
CGUGUAGGCGGCUUUGCAAGUCGGAUGUGAAAGCCCACGGCUCAACCGUGGAAGUGCAUCCGAAACUGCAUGGCUGGAGUCUCGGAGAGGAAGGUGGAAUGCUUGGUGUAGAGGUGAAAUUCGUAGAUAUCAAGCAGAACACCUGCGGCGAAGGCGGCCUUCUGGACGAUGACUGAGCUGAGACGCGAAAGCGUGGGGAGCAAACA